UGGGGAAUUUUGGACAAUGGGCGAAAGCCUGAUCCAGCAAUGCCGCGUGUGUGAAGAAGGCCUUCGGGUUGUAAAGCACUUUUGUCCGGAAAGAAAUCCUUGGCUCUAAUACAGUCGGGGGAUGACGGUACCGGAAGAAUAAGCACCGGCUAACUACGUGCCAGCAGCCGCGGUAAUACGUAGGGUGCAAGCGUUAAUCGGAAUUACUGGGCGUAAAGCGUGCGCAGGCGGUUUGCUAAGACCGAUGUGAAAUCCCCGGGCUCAACCUGGGAACUGCAUUGGUGACUGGCAGGCUAGAGUAUGGCAGAGGGGGGUAGAAUUCCACGUGUAGCAGUGAAAAUGCGUAGAGAUGGUGGAAGGCAAUGACCGAUGGCGAAGGCCCAGGCCCCCAUGGCAAUACUGACGCUCAUGCACGAAAAGCGUGGGGAGCAAACAGGAUUAGAUACCCCUGGUAGUCCACGCCCUAAACGAUGUCAACUAGUUGUUGGGGGAUUCAUUUCCUUAGUAACGUAGCUAACGCGUGAAGUUGACCGCCUGGGGAGUACGGUCGCAAGAUUAAAACUUAAAUGAAUUGACGGGGUCAUAGCUGUUUCCU
rnacentral:rRNA from 1 species